CCUACGGGUGGCAGCAGUGAGGAAUAUUGGUCAAUGGUCGGGAGACUGAACCAGCCAAGCCGCGUGAGGGAGGAAGGUACAGAGUAUCGUAAACCUCUUUUGUCAGGGAACAAAGGCGGGGACGUGUCCCCGGAGGAGUGUACCUGACGAAAAAGCAUCGGCUAACUCCGUGCAAGCAGCCGCGGUAAUACGGAGGAUGCGAGCGUUAUCCGGAUUUAUUGGGUUUAAAGGGUGCGCCGGCGGUCUGUUCAGUCAGCGGUCAAAGCCCGGGGCUCAACCCCGGCCCGCCGUUGAAACUGGCAGUCUCGCGUUGGAGAGAAGUAUGCGGAAUGCGCGGUGUAGCGGUGAAAUGCAUAGAUAUCGCGCAGAACUCCGAUUGCGAAGGCAGCAUGCCGGCUCCACACUGACGCUGAGGCACGAAAGCGUGGGUAUCGAACAGGAUUAGAUACCCCUGUAGUC
rnacentral:rRNA from 1 species